GACGAACGCUGGCGGCGUGCUUAACACAUGCAAGUCGAACGGAAGGGCCCUGCUGUUGUGGGGUGCUCGAGUGGCGAACGGGUGAGUAACACGUGAGUAACCUGCCCUUGACUUUGGGAUAACUUCAGGAAACUGGGGCUAAUACCGGAUAGGAGCUCCUGCUGCAUGGUGGGGGUUGGAAAGGUUCGGCGGUUGGGGAUGGACUCGCGGCUUAUCAGCUUGUUGGGGGGGUAGUGGCUUACCAAGGCUUUGACGGGUAGCCGGCCUGAGAGGGUGGCCGGCCACAUUGGGACUGAGAUACGGCCCAGACUCCUACGGGAGGCAGCGGAGGGGAAUAUUGCACAGUGGGCGGAAGCCUGAUGCAGCGACGCCGCGUGCGGGAUGACGGCCUUCGGGUUGUAAACCGCUUUCGCAUGUGACGAAGCGUGAGUGACGGUAAUGGGUAAAGAAGCACCGGCUAACUACGUG
rnacentral:rRNA from 1 species